CAGAAUCCGUUAGUCCUAACUGAAAAUUGGCAGCUUGACAAUUAUCCAAAGCUGGAAAAUCUGGAAUAAUGGUUAACCGUAAAACUUUAGCUGAUGAAAUUAUUGAUAACUGGUGUAGCUGUCAUGAAAGUGGAUUAGAACAGACAAGCAACCAACAUGUAAGGAAAAAAGAAAAGGUUGAUUGAUAUUAAUACCAAGAAGUUAUCUAAAUGACAACUGGUUGGAAAUAUAGUCCAUUAUCAUCUGGACGUUCUAACUAUAGAAUCAAAU
rnacentral:lncRNA from 1 species